rnacentral:rRNA from 1 species
GACGAACCGUGCGAACGUUGUUCGGAAUCACUGGGUCUUAAAGGGCGCGUAGGCGGCUUGCCAAGUCCGGGGUGGAAAUCCUCCACGCUUAACUGGAGAAAGUGCCCUGGAUACUGGCGAGCUCGAGCGAGCAGGGGUUGUGGGAACUUCCGGUGGGACGGUGAAAUGCGUUGAUAUCGGAAGGAACGCCGGUGGCGAAAGCGCACAACUGGUCCUCUUCUGACGCUGAGGCGCGAAAGCCAGGGGAGCAAACGGG